rnacentral:ncRNA from 1 species
AUCAGGUCUAGGGUAGCCCCCGAAAAACCGGAUUCCUUCAUCCGGUCUGACCUGUGUCUUUAAUGAAGG